rnacentral:rRNA from 1 species
AGAACGAACGCUGGCGGCGUGCUUAACACAUGCAAGUCGAACGCGAAAGUUUUCUUCGGAAAGCGAGUAGAGUGGCGCACGGGUGAGUAACGCGUAAGUAAUCUACCCUGGUAUCUGGGAUAACCCACCGAAAGGUGUGCUAAUACCGGAUACGCUGAUUUAUCAGGAAAGGUGGCCUCUUCAUGAAAGCUACUGUACCAGGAGGAGCUUGCGUACCAUUAGCUAGUUGGUAGGGUAAUGGCCUACCAAGGCAACGAUGGUUAGCGGGUCUGAGAGGAUGAUCCGCCACACUGGAACUGGAACACGGACCAGACUCCUACGGGAGGCAGCAGUGAGGAAUAUUGCGCAAUGGGGGAAACCCUGACGCAGCGACGCCGCGUGGAUGAUGAAGGCCUUCGGGUCGUAAAAUCCUGUCAGAUGGAAAGAAAUGCAUAUGUGCUAAUACCAUGUAUGUUUGACGGUACCAUCAAAGGAAGCACCGGCUAACUCCGUGCCAGCAGCCGCGGUAAUACGGAGGGUGCAAGCGUUGUUCGGAAUUACUGGGCGUAAAGCGCGCGUAGGCGGUUUGUUAAGUCAGAUGUGAAAGUCCACGGCUCAACCGUGGAAGUGCAUUUGAAACUGGCAGACUUGAGUACUGGAGGGGGUGGUGGAAUUCCCGGUGUAGAGGUGAAAUUCGUAGAUAUCGGGAGGAAUACCGGUGGCGAAGGCGACCACCUGGCCAGAUACUGACGCUGAGGUGCGAAAGCGUGGGGAGCAAACAGGAUUAGAUACCCUGGUAGUCCACGCCGUAAACGAUGUCAACUAGGUGUUGGGGAGGUUAAUCUUCUCAUUGCCGCAGCUAACGCAUUAAGUUGACCGCCUGGGGAGUACGGUCGCAAGAUUA